GUGGAACAGGAAUUCAGGAGUGAUUUGGCUGCAUUGGCUCCGGCUUGGAGUUUCUUGUGAUGUGAAGUUGCAAUCGAGAUGCCAUCCAGGUACAGUAUCUCUUCUUUGAAGAUGCCUUCACUGACCCCUUGGUUUAAAUGAAGUGCCUGGGAGAAGAACCUCAUGUUAUCUACUUUAGUAGACUGAGAAAUGGCCCCUGAAGGUAUCAGGCCCUACCUAAUCCCUGGAUACUGGAGAUGUUACCUUCUUUGGGAAAGAUGAUGCACUUGCAGGAGAGAAGCAGAAGGAGACUUGACACAUGCACAGCGGAGAAGGCAGUGUGAAGAUGAAGCAGGGGGAUUUGAAGAUACUUGCCUUGAAGACUUGGCCACCAGUCAAGGAACGCCAGC